rnacentral:tRNA from 1 species
UAAGACCUGUGAGAUACUAACUCACAUCUCAUGAAUGCAACUCAAACACUUUUAUUAAGCUAAAGCCUCU